rnacentral:rRNA from 1 species
GCGUCGAGCGGCGGACGGGUGAGUAAUGCCUAGGAAAUUGCCCUGAUGUGGGGGAUAACCAUUGGAAACGAUGGCUAAUACCGCAUAAUGCCUACGGGCCAAAGAGGGGGACCUUCGGGCCUCUCGCGUCAGGAUAUGCCUAGGUGGGAUUAGCUAGUUGGUGAGGUAAUGGCUCACCAAGGCGACGAUCCCUAGCUGGUCUGAGAGGAUGAUCAGCCACACUGGAACUGAGACACGGUCCAGACUCCUACGGGAGGCAGCAGUGGGGAAUAUUGCACAAUGGGCGCAAGCCUGAUGCAGCCAUGCCGCGUGUGUGAAGAAGGCCUUCGGGUUGUAAAGCACUUUCAGUCGUGAGGAAGGUAGUGUAGUUAAUAGCUGCAUUAUUUGACGUUAGCGACAGAAGAAGCACCGGCUAACUCCGUGCCAGCAGCCGCGGUAAUACGGAGGGUGCGAGCGUUAAUCGGAAUUACUGGGCGUAAAGCGCAUGCAGGUGGUUUGUUAAGUCAGAUGUGAAAGCCCGGGGCUCAACCUCGGAAUAGCAUUUGAAACUGGCAGACUAGAGUACUGUAGAGGGGGGUAGAAUUUCAGGUGUAGCGGUGAAAUGCGUAGAGAUCUGAAGGAAUACCGGUGGCGAAGGCGGCCCCCUGGACAGAUACUGACACUCAGAUGCGAAAGCGUGGGGAGCAAACAGGAUUAGAUACCCUGGUAGUCCACGCCGUAAACGAUGUCUACUUGGAGGUUGUGGCCUUGAGCCGUGGCUUUCGGAGCUAACGCGUUAAGUAGACCGCCUGGGGAGUACGGUCGCAAGAUUAAAACUCAAAUGAAUUGACGGGGGCCCGCACAAGCGGUGGAGCAUGUGGUUUAAUUCGAUGCAACGCGAAGAACCUUACCUACUCUUGACAUCCAGAGAACUUUCCAGAGAUGGAUUGGUGCCUUCGGGAACUCUGAGACAGGUGCUGCAUGGCUGUCGUCAGCUCGUGUUGUGAAAUGUUGGGUUAAGUCCCGCAACGAGCGCAACCCUUAUCCUUGUUUGCCAGCGAGUAAUGUCGGGAACUCCAGGGAGACUGCCGGUGAUAAACCGGAGGAAGGUGGGGACGACGUCAAGUCAUCAUGGCCCUUACGAGUAGGGCUACACACGUGCUACAAUGGCGCAUACAGAGGGCAGCAAGCUAGCGAUAGUGAGCGAAUCCCAAAAAGUGCGUCGUAGUCCGGAUUGGAGUCUGCAACUCGACUCCAUGAAGUCGGAAUCGCUAGUAAUCGUGGAUCAGAAUGCCACGGUGAAUACGUUCCCGGGCCUU